GCGGCCGCGGCGGGCGCAGGAGGGACUUCCGGCAGAGGCGCCGAGGGGGUGGACGCGCGGUGCCCUCUGUGGCCGCGGAGGGAACGGGUCUGGACUGCGGAGGCCAGGGCCCCACACGGCGCCCCCUCCCAGCGCCUCAGCAUCCGGCAGUGUGAGAGGAGGAGGGCCCUCGCGAGCUCUGCGCCCCCGCCUCGCGGCCCCCGGCCAGUCAGGGCUGAGCCGGGGACGAAAUCCUGCUCGGGAUCUGGACCUCCACCCGCCUUCCCCGCCACAGCCUGUUGCCACGCCUCUUCUCCUACUCUACCCUACCUUACCCUCUCCGUUCUCCUACACUCUCCUACCCGCUCUCCUCCGAUCUUCUGUUUAGGGAGAUUUUCCGUUUCCAGUUUUCUUUCUGAAGGACCUUUCCUUGAACUAUUCUUAAUGAAUGGUUGUAUCUGGUGAAGUUGAUAAAGUGAUCCACUUUAUAAUAAGAGAGAGAGAGAGAGAGCACAAGCGGGAGG